ACAGUGCUGGGCCUCCAAGCUGGCCUUCAUAAAGGCAGCAAUCCCGAAGGAAGCAAUGAGCUGGUCAUGGAGUUCUGCACCUCAUGCCGUGCCAGCAGAGCAAGACCUGGGAAUUCCCAAUGGACCGCAUUCAACCCAUGCAAAUGUGUGUCAGAAGGACCUUUACCAUAAAUUCCUGGCUCUCCAGGGAAACUGUACAACACCCAGUAGUCUGGGAUUGGUGUGAAGGGAACUGUGAAAGAGAACUGGGAGAUUCGAAAGAAGAUGCGGCUUGGUUAUCUCCACCGCUCUGGAGCAGCUAAUGGUCCAUGAGGCGCACGCAAAGGUCUCCAGCAAUAAACUAAACAAGCAGAAGCAAGUUCCACUCUGGACCCGCAGGUGCGCGGCUUGAUUCUGCCGGGAAGGAACCCAGAGUAGGAGCAAACACGCCGCUUUCGCAGAGCAGCUCUGAAGUAGCCUGCGUCGGUUUUCCAGCAGCCGGGGACUGGUAGAACUGGGUUUCGCUGCUCCAGUCUCUCCUGACUCAGGCCUUGCACUUUCGUUGUUUCAUGAACACUGAGAAGUGCGUUACAUGGUUUGAAAUUAAAGUCAAACAAACGAUCUCUUUUCUUUUAAAGGAGACUGGGUAUAUUCCAAAUGACA
rnacentral:lncRNA from 1 species